AUCACACAUUUUUUCUCCCUCAGUUUUCAAUACAGAGCAUAACACAUGAUCUUCAUUUACUUGCCAAUGGCGUGUUACAGAAGCUGAAUCUGAAACCUAUUUUUUUCAUUUUAAUAAAUACAUUUAUCAGGAAAAGAACUUGAAAAAAAUGGAGUGUUUAGGAGCUAGAAACUUUGCUGCAAUGGCGGUGUUUUCUUGUCCGACGAGGAGAAGAACAGUCAGAAGAACGAGAAACACGGUGUCGUUUAGAAGAAAACGGUGCUGUUUCUAUAAAGUCAGAGCAAGCAGUGAUAGUUGUGUAGUUAUUAAAGAAGAGUUCGCUGACGAGGAAGAUUAUAUAAAAGCCGGUGGUUCUGAACUUGUUUUUGUCCAAAUGCAGCAAAAAAAAUCCAUGGAUAAACAGUCGAAACUUUCCGAUAAGUUGAGGCCUAUACCUACUGGAGACGAUGAUGUAUUGGAUUUGGUAGUGAUUGGCUGUGGUCCAGCUGGUUUAGCUCUUGCUGCAGAAUCAGCUAAGUUAGGAUUAAAUGUUGGUCUUAUUGGUCCUGAUCUUCCUUUUACUAAUAAUUAUGGUGUUUGGGAAGAUGAAUUUAAAGAUCUCGGACUUGAAGGAUGUAUUGAGCAUGUAUGGCGGGAUACUAUAGUAUAUCUUGAUGACGAUGAUCCUGUUUUGAUUGGUCGUGCUUAUGGACGAGUUAGUAGGCAUUUGCUUCAUGAAGAGUUAUUAAGGAGGUGUGUCGAGUCAGGUGUUUCAUAUCUUAGCUCAAAAGUGGAAAGAAUUACAGAAGCAGCCCAUGGUCAUAGGCUUGUUGCUUGUGAACAUGAUAUGGUGGUUUCUUGCAGGCUUGCUACUGUUGCGUCUGGAGCAGCUUCAGGGAAGCUAUUGCAAUAUGAAGUGGGAGGUCCGCGUGUUUCUGUCCAAACGGCUUAUGGUGUGGAGGUUGAGGUGGAAAGCAUUCCAUAUGAUCCUAGUCUGAUGGUCUUCAUGGAUUACAGAGACUACAGUAAACAUAAAGUCUCCAGUUUAGAAGCUGAAUAUCCAACAUUUCUUUAUGCUAUGCCCAUGUCACCAACAAGAGUUUUCUUUGAGGAAACUUGUUUGGCCUCGAAACAUGCUAUGCCUUUUGACUUGCUAAAGGGAAAACUGAUGUCAAGGUUAGAGACAAUGGGGAUCCGCAUACUAAAAACCUAUGAAGAGGAGUGGUCUUAUAUACCAGUUGGUGGUUCAUUGCCUAACACCGAGCAGAAGAACCUUGCAUUUGGUGCUGCAGCUAGCAUGGUGCAUCCAGCCACAGGAUAUUCUGUAGUCAGAUCAUUGUCAGAAGCUCCUAAUUAUGCUUCUGUAAUUGCAAAUAUAUUGAAACAACACCAAGCUAUGGGCAAGCUUACCAGUAGAAGUAAUGCAAUCUCAAUGCAAGCUUGGAAUACUCUUUGGCCGCAAGAAAGGAAACGUCAAAGGGCAUUCUUUCUCUUUGGACUAGCGCUUAUAAUUCAACUGGAUAUUGAGGGAAUUAGGACGUUUUUCCGCACCUUCUUCCGCUUACCCUGCUGAGGUAAAACCAGGAGACAGUGAAGCAAGUAUCAAUGAAGGAACUUCUGACAUAAAUCUCUUCUAGUUUGCCUGACUAGUGUUUCCAAGUUUUAUGACACACCUUCCUCUGGCAUCUUCUAAUCAUUAAGGAUGUGGCGGGGAUUCCUCGGUUCGAGUCUGUCAUCAGCUGAUCUAGUAUUAUUUUCAUUAUAUAUGUUUGUUAUUGCACCAAAUGAUUUAAGAAUGUCCCUUGUUAAGCAUCUAAUGUCUGAUCCAACCGGAGCCACUAUGAUAAGAACUUAUCUCACACUAUAAGACCCAUCUUUUCUAUUGGCAUUCUAGAA